CAAAGGCAUCUGAGUGGUAAGAGCAUCCGGAGCCCAGGACUGCUGAGUCAACCCUCUGGAAUGCCCACAACUCCCCACAGGCCAGCCGGCCUUGGGACUCCCGCACAGCCACGUGAGCCGGUGGAGCCGGGUCUGUUUGCUAGUGGAGGCUGUUAACAGCACGGGAAGUGGUCAAGGGUUCAACAAGAGAUGAGCCAUCUGGUCCUCCAGAGGUGGAGGAGGCACGUGACCCACAUGGUCUGGCCACUGAUGACUGAACAAGCUAUGGACACCGGACCCCGGAGAGACCAUUCACUCACUGGCCACGAACAUGAGUUCAGAUACAUGCCCCAAAAGGAUGAGCCUGGGUACUGGAUUCCCUCCCUCAGAAACGUGAAUCAAGAGACACAGGAUGUUCCUGUUGGUCCAGAUACUUGAGCUAAAAGGUGAUGGAUACCUGGAUGUGGGGUGGUCAUUCUGGGGAGUACGUCCAUAUAGAAAGAGGAGCAGGUGCUGUGGGAUUCUGGAUCCCAGUGAUAGAGCUAAGUGGCUGGAUCAAGCUUCACCUGAAACCCACUCUACUUGUCUUAGUCCAUUUUGUGUUGCUAUAAAAGAAUACCUGCAACUGGGUAAUGUAUAAAGAAAAGAGACUUAUUUCA
rnacentral:lncRNA from 1 species